CAGUAGCCACGGGAAUACGAAGGGGGCUAGCGUUGUUCGGAAUUACUGGGCGUAAAGCGCACGUAGGCGGAUAUUUAAGUCAGGGGUGAAAUCCCGCAGCUCAACUGCGGAACUGCCUUUGAUACUGGGUAUCUUGAGUAUGGAAGAGGUUAGUGGAAUUGCGAGUGUAGAGGUGAAUUUCGUAGAUAUUCGCAGGAACACCAGUGGCGAAGGCGGCUAACUGGUCCAUAACUGACGCUGAGGUGCGAAAGCGUGGGGAGCAAACAGGAUUAGAUACCCGAGUAGUCCCUGUCUCUUAUAC
rnacentral:rRNA from 1 species